CACACAAACCCCUCCACCACAAUAAGGUGGCAGUUCUAGGAGUCCCCUCCUAGAACUCAUUAAUAUUGAUAAUAAGGAAUUUUCAUAUAUUGUGUAGCAUCAAACCAACAACCAUCUAGUGAAGAAAUGUAUGGAGGACUGACUGUCAGAUGAGAGUCCGAAUUUGUUCCAGAGACAGCGAAGAUGAGUGCAAGGAAGUGAUCUCACUGAUGAAACAUUCAGCUGAUGAGGACACAGUCAAGAAGAUGAUGAAGCUGACGUAUGUCUAUCACCGUAACAUGGUCCUUGACCCCCAGCAAUCAAGCAAAUACUUACUUCGUUUCAAAGACGUCAAAGGUUUGGUGUAAAAUCUGUCUUUUAUUUUGACAUUUGAAGAGGUUUUUUUUUUUUUUAAAGAGUAAAUGGGUAGUGUAGUGAUAAACAACCAGCUCCUGACUAGCAACUAGUUUAACUUUGGUUGGCUGUGAAAUCCUGAAAUUGUCACCCAACACCCCCACCACAGAUUGAACAGGGUUUCAUUCUGAUGUUUGGAGAGGCUGUAUCAGCCAAGCUUCUGGAAAGGUGGCCGACCACAUUCAAGAAAAAGAUCAUCCAACAAUGCAGAAAGCUUUCAUCCAUCAAUGAGUUUGAUGAACCCCUGCUUGCAGCUGAUCCUCCUGAGGAUGACACCGAAAUGGAUACCGACUUUGGGAAGUUACUUGCUGGGACAGUGACCUCUCAUAAGUUUUACUGCUGUUACACCUGAUUCCACCCACUGCUCAGGGUCAAAUGAGACCAGAAAAGGUGUCUGCAUCCCAAGCAGAGAAGCAUCUAGUGGUCUUCAAGAAAACUGGAACAAGCAUCCAAGAGCACCUUGAUGCCAUCAUUACCAGCUCUCAGCUGUAUCUCCUGGUUGUUGGAGUUAGGAAGAAUGCAAUCCACCAUUCUUGACAAGAAUGCCAUACCUUGCCAGUUACCCUCUUCUCUUGGUGCUUUUGAUGAACUGUU